UAACACGUGGGCAAUCUGCCCUUCACUCUGGGACAAGCCCUGGAAACGGGGUCUAAUACCGGAUAACACUCUGUCCCGCAUGGGACGGGGUUAAAAGCUCCGGCGGUGAAGGAUGAGCCCGCGGCCUAUCAGCUUGUUGGUGGGGUGAUGGCCUACCAAGGCGACGACGGGUAGCCGGCCUGAGAGGGCGACCGGCCACACUGGGACUGAGACACGGCCCAGACUCCUACGGGAGGCAGCAGUGGGGAAUAUUGCACAAUGGGCGAAAGCCUGAUGCAGCGACGCCGCGUGAGGGAUGACGGCCUUCGGGUUGUAAACCUCUUUCAGCAGGGAAGAAGCGAGAGUGACGGUACCUGCAGAAGAAGCGCCGGCGAACUACGUGCCACCAGCCGCGGUAAUACGUAGGGCGCAAGCGUUGUCCGGAAUUAUUGGGCGUAAAGAGCUCGUAGGCGGCUUGUUGCGUCGGUUGUGAAAGCCCGGGGCUUAACCCCGGGUCUGCAUUCGAUACGGGCAGGCUAGAGUGUGGUAGGGGAGAUCGGAAUUCCUGGUGUAGCGGUGAAAUGCGCAGAUAUCAGGAGGAACACCGGUGGCGAAGGCGGAUCUCUGGGCCAUUACUGACGCUGAGGAGCG
rnacentral:rRNA from 1 species